CCUACCCCUAUAGGCUUUGUUGUGGCUUGUGUUGUAUUGCAUCAGUAGUUGGCAUAGAGGAGAGAGGCUAUGUCUACACCUUGUGUUCUGACCUAUGAACAUCUGAGUGAUUUGUAGCUUAAUAUU